UCCAACGUUGACAACAUUCACCGUCCUGACUCCGCCAAGGACUACGCCCUGGUCGAAUGAAAGGCCCUCACUGCGCUCGACGGCAGUGGCGCCACCUACCACAGCGAUGACGAACUAACGGAACUGUCAUUGCCGUCGGACGCCGUGCAGCAGCAGCAGCGCACCAAGUAUCCGCAGUUCUGCACGUUGCCAUGGCUACAGAUCGCCCCAUGCAAGAUCUUGAGUCCGAGUAUCGCGUACAUGAACCUGCAGAGUCGGACGGAGGACACGGACACUUGCCUGGACAUGCGGCCGGGCCCCGCCCACCACCCUGCAGGAAUUUUUAACUGUCAUGACUUGAAAGGCUCCUAAUUGGAAGUAACACAAACCUGACUGCCAAUCGUCUCGUUGGACGUGCCGAGGAGAAUCAACACGACCCCAACCACGUAGCAGGAGAGUUACAUGUACACGCCUGAAGCUGGCUCGUGUUCGGAAAAUGCUACUCCUACUGAAUAGACAGCGUAUUAAGUGGAACGUUUCCUCGUAGACAGCUCUCCGACAUUGUGAUAUAUUUAUGUAUGACCGGCUGCAUUCCAAUUAUUAAACGCCACGAGCGUAUUUUCAACAAAACUUAAGUAUUCACCUCUAAACGAUGUGACGUUCAUUCUAUUUAUUUAUGUUUUUGUCAUUUAAUUAAUGUUAUUAACUAAUAAUGAAUUAAUUAAAUUGUUAGCGUAGCUAUGUGUUGGUAGUAACAGGCCAUCUAUUUAAUGUAAGCUGUGCUUAGAAACAUAGAUGGGCAGAUAAGCAGUUAGGUAGAUGGAUGGAUGGAUAUGGAUUGAUGGAUGGACGGAUGGGCAGAUGGCUAGUUGGAUAGAUUGGCAGAUGGCUAGUUGAAUAGAUGGAUAGAUGGCUAGAUGGAUGGAUAGAUAGGUGGAUGGAUAGCUAGAUAGAUAGAUAGGUGAAUGGAUAGCUAGAUAGAUAGAUAGGUGGAUGGAUAUAUAGGUGAAUGGAUAGCUAGAUAGAUAGAUACAUACGAUUUUGGUUAGUGCGUCUUCGGAAUAAUGCGUACGGUUCUCGGUGUGAGUAUACAGGUUAUAGCCUCCCAUUACCCUACAGUAUAUUAUGCCGAUAUUUGAUUUUCACAUGUUCUGGUUGACGUAUACUGAGUAUUUAUACUGAUAUAAUAUUGGAGAACGUUCCAUUAAUAACUAAGCCAUUUUACAGUACUACAAUACUAUGUACCUCUUGUGUUGUCAACUGUUAUCUAUUAUCUAUGUCAAAUGUACUUGGAAUCAUGCAAUCUCGCGUUUUACUUGUGCGUCUAUUUAUAAUAGCUUGUGAUUAGUAUUAAGUCCACGAGCAUGUGCAGUAGCAUGCGCGUUCAUGAUAUGGAUUAUAAUAAAUCUACGUUAACUAAAA